GAUACUCUUCAUCCCGGCCAGGCGCAGCUUUAGGCGAGCCACCACACUCUCCUGCACUGACUCCUGCACGUACAGCACCCACUGGACUCCAACAGGAAGUCCAGCCUCUCCAAACAGCUGAGCCAAUAGGAGAGAGGAAGGGGCCGUUGACAUCCCAGGGACCACCACAACAGUGUUACCUGGCACACAAAAGUACAGCUAUAUGCAGACUCACCCACAGCUAAAGCUGGUAAGACUUUGAGCCAGAGGGAAUACAGUGAGGAGUCAUCAGAUCCAACCACUGCCACCACACCUAACAAAACAGAGAUAAACAUGUGAACACCAGUAACAUACACACACGCUAAAUAACAUAUACAGUACCACACAAUACAAAGUCAAAACAUACAGACACAGAGAAUUGUCACAAAUUAGGACCGCACACACAAGCAACCCUCACACAGCUGAGGGGCUCCCACCUCUGGGCGUCCAGUCGGGGAUGAGGGGGUCCCGGAGCUGAGCCCAGCUGGCAUAGUACUGGGCCAGUCGCACCAGCGCUGCAGGGGAGCAGGGAGACUGGGAGAGCUCACAAAGCUCAGACAUACACUGGCUGUGCCUCUGAACCGCACUCGCCAACCUGAGAGAGAGAGAGAGAGAGAGAGAGA